UCCUUCCCUCUGCUCUAUCUCUUUAUAGAUCCAUGUUCUGCUUUUAAAUUUUGAAAAGAGAGAGAAAGAGAGUUUUGAGAACCCAUCUCUUGUAACAUCCCUUUCUCUCUCUGCAAUACACACAAAAUGUCAAAAAAAACCCAGUACGCCCCCAUGUUCUCCUGAUUUUGAAUUUUGAAAGAGAGGUUUUGAAUUUCAAAUCUCCACUCUCUCCCUCAAUUCAUUACUCCUUCAUCUUUCACGCCUCUCUCAUCUCUCUUCUUUUCUUUCUAUUGUAUUGAACACCAAUUUAAAGAAAUCUACAGACAUUCCAUUUCAAAAUUAGGAGAAAUUUUUAAGCAUAGUGUACCCUAAUUUCAUUGCAAAGUGAAAAUAGAGAGAGAAUGAAACAUCAUCUUACCACCCUAUGUUGAGGAAUUAAGAAACAGACAAUGUGGCUUCCGAAGAGCAAAGGUGGUGUCCAAGACAGAGACCCGUUGCCGCGGAAGGGAGCCUCUUUGGUCGGGGUGGCGAUAGACAAAGACAAAUACAGCCCGCACGCUCUCAAAUGGUCCAUUGAACAUCUUCUUAUCUGUGGCCAAACCGUUGUCCUCAUUCAUUUCAUUCGAAAAAACCUCUUCUGCAGGCAAUCCAUAGGGUGGUAAGAUGAUGUUUCAUACACUUAAAUUCUUCGACAGACGUUCCCUCUCUCACUCUCAAUUUCGAUUUCAAAUUUCAAAGUUCUUUAUGUUCUCUCUCAAAUUCCGGCAGCGGCUGUAAUGGUGUUUUGGGCGGUAUUCUGGUGGUUGAAGAAAUCAGGUGUUAUGAAGCUUGAAGCUACAAUGUUAAAGACUGCCAGAAGUGAUCAUGCAUGUACUCCCAAACAAUUGCACAUCAAUGAAAAAGUUGCUAAUCUUGAAAAGACACAUGGUGGAUGAUGUCCCCAUUGAGGUUAUUGGUGAUGUUCUUAGAGUUUGACAAAUCCUCACCAACUACCACUUGAAAAGGUGAGAUUUUUUUAACAAAUUUAUCUCUUUAUAUUUAUUUUCUAUCCAUCAGGUUGAUAAUUUUUCGGUUUUUAGGACCAAUAGAAAGAUCCAAAUCAUUUCUCUUGAAGAAGUGGGUCAAACCCACAACGUUCUUUUUAUAUUUACUUUGUGUUUAAUUAAUUGGCACAAACAUGAUGUGUAUUGUUGUAUUUAUGAUGUGUAGUUAAUUGAUUUUUUAAUAUGAUUUUUAAAAAGUAGAUUGUUACAUUGAGAAUUAAAAUUUUAAAUUAUAUUGGAAUGGAAUAAUUUAAGAGGUUUCUA